rnacentral:tRNA from 1 species
GGUCGUGUGGCUCAGUAGUAGAGCACUUGCUUCACAUGCAUGAGGCACUGGGUUCCAUUCUCAGCACUACAU